GCAAGUCGAACGGCAGCACGGACUUCGGUCUGGUGGCGAGUGGCGAACGGGUGAGUAAUAUAUCGGAACGUGCCCAGUCGUGGGGGAUAACGUAGUGAAAAUUACGCUAAUACCGCAUACGAUCUAAGGAUGAAAGCGGGGGACCGUAAGGCCUCGCGCGAUUGGAGCGGCCGAUAUCAGAUUAGGUAGUUGGUAGGGUAAAGGCCUACCAAGCCAACGAUCUGUAGCUGGUCUGAGAGGACGACC
rnacentral:rRNA from 1 species